rnacentral:lncRNA from 1 species
CUUCUCUCUCUUCCUCCUCGGCCGCACGGACUAAUCUCUCUUUCUUUCUUUCUCAUCUCUCUGAUCUCACCGAAAUCGCCACUUCCAGCCACUACCACACUACACCGCCAUCACCAUAACACAAAUCCGACCAAGAUCCAGUUGUUUCGCCGCCGAUCAAGACGUUUCGGUCACCGCACUCGACCUCCAAACCUGCGACGCCACUGUUCCACAACCUUCACCUGUUUCCAGUCAUCCCCUUUACCACACCACCAUCACCGCUGCACUCAGGGAGCAAUGGAGAAGAAAACCCAGAGGUUUCAUCACCCACCGAUGCCGGACGAGGCCGUACAAGUUGUCGCCGAAAUCUGGGAUUCUGCAAGUAUCGAUUCGUCGUUUCCGGCCACUCGAGCUGCACGACCACCAUAGUUGGAAUCAUAGCCUCUUCAUUUUUCAAAACCCUCUAGCUCCGACCUUUGCUUCAGCCAGAACAGCCGCACUCGCUGCCACUGCCGUGUGGACCACCGUGACUCCGCCACCUGAUUUCUGGGCCAUCUUUAUUAGUUUUUGAUUAGGCAUUCUGAAGUUUUUGGAGAAAGGAAUGGGCAUUGGUUCAGUUUGAUGUAUAAUGAAGGAAGGAGUUUGAAUGGUUGUUGGUGGUGGAAGACUACACUUAGUAAGAAUUGGCCCUCUGUUUGGAGAUGAAGAAUCGGACUCGAGCGUGACUACUUGAGAUAGAACGAAAGCUCAAUAUCGAAAAUGAUUGAACGGAGAAAUUUCCGAGCUCUUGACUUAGGAUGGAUGAGCUGACGGUUAUUGCAUUUGAAUCACUUUUGCAGGGCUAGAUUAGUUGAGGUCAGGCGUACAUGAAGUUGAGGCAUAGUUGUCACUGCUUCCGCAUUGCUUUGGGUAGUCCAUUUUUAGGGAGAGUUCCGCCAAAUCUUUGGUAGAAUUUCCUCUAAGGUGGGCCCGCAGAGUCACUUCGGAUUUCAGGGUGAAAUCCGAGGCGGGUCCUGUCACUAUCAACUAAUCAGAUAUCCACCAGGUCAUCCAAAAGGGAAAUCAAACCGCUUGAAAAAUGAUGGGAACCAUGGUCAUAUUUCUGCAGCCAAUCAAGUCUCCGAAUGAUCGACUAAAGAUGAGGUAAAAUCUGUGAUAUCAGGAAUUUCCGAAGCCCAACUUCAACAACUCUUGUCUUUUCUUAGUACCAAAGAUGGGAGUGCUAAUGAUGGUGGUACUAAUUCUCAAGCUCAUGCAGCCGUGACCAUACUAGGAUCUGGUUACGAGGAGAAUGAUUGGUUUGGGUAAACAGCGUAAUGGCCUAUACUUGGUGGCAUUAGCGACGAAGAAAACAUUGACCAACCCUCCUUCAGUCUUAAACCACCAACUAGCUUGCAACCUUACCACCUCAUCCACUGAUCUGUGGCACAGUCGUUUAGGCCAUGUUUCCUUUUCUCGAUUAAGUUUUAUUGCCAAGAAUUUUUUGAAUAUUUCUGUUAAUUCUAAUAACGCUUGCUAUAUAUGUCCUUUGGCUAAGCAAAGUCGUUUGCCUUUUGUUACUAGUGCCAUUUCGCCUGAAAGACCCUUUGAUCUUAUUCAUUGUGAUAUUUGGGGUCGAUAUAAAAACCCUUCUCUUUCUGGUGCU